rnacentral:rRNA from 1 species
GAUCCUGGCUCAGGAUGAACGCUAGCGACAGGCUUAACACAUGCAAGUCGAGGGGCGAGCACGGUGUAGCAAUACAUUGGUGGUCGACCGGCGCACGGGUGAGUAACGCGUAUGCAACCUACCUAUCAGAGGGGAAUAACCCGGCGGAAAGUCGGACUAAUACCGCAUAAAACAGGGGUUCCACAUAGAAAUAUUUGUUAAAGAAUUAUCGCUGAUAGUAUGGGCAUGCGGUUCCAUUAGAUUAGG